GGGGAAUGCUUAAUGUAGAAGGAGGGACUGGGAGCAUGAAAAGGAUUAGACCUACAGUGUUCUGUAAAAGCUGUGCUCCUUCAACAGUUCUCCUAGGGAAGAGGAGAUAACAUUUACUGAGCUGUGAGAUGGUGAAGGGAUGUCUUCUACUGGAUGUUGCAGGCUUAUGCUGAGGAUUUCUCAAUAGACAGAGGCUUUCAUCACCACCUGUCUCCUCCUGACUGCACCACUGAAAUCCAGGCCCAUCUUUGGCACAGCAGGAAGAGUCAUAAAGUCGGAAUCUUUCUAGGCCCAUCAAAAUCCUGCUGGAAACAAUUGAGAAAGGUUUCCGUUUGUAUUGGACAACUACUGGGCACUUAAAAGGAUGUACUUCUAAUACAUAACAGUUCAUACAGGGUAGAAUUCCUUUGCUGCAGACGUCUUCAUUUCCUUAGUUUCUGUGCUUGAGCAAGUGACACUGUUCUGUCUGCACUUGACUGUGCUCAGAUAGGAGAUGGAUGCUGGUCCUCAGGGGGCCAUCCACUCCAUCCAUUGCCUGGCCUCCUCCAACAUCUUUUCGUGGCUUCUGGCAGAUGCAGAAUAGUGGAUUAUCUAAUUAUGAGUUCAAAUGGGAUAAGCCGAAGACAGCUUUUUUCUUUCUCUUUUAUAAUGCUGCUUGAUAAUUCUGGCUCAAUCCCCCUUUAAACCUCAUCUUUUUGUAUUUCCUCUAAUCAACCCCCUAGUAAGGGAAUAAGGACGAUGACAGAGAAUUAACAAUAACAAGAUGCUCUGUGUUCCCAUGAACUGAGUGCUUGUCUCUAGAUCAUCUCUACCACCAGGGCACAUAAUUGUAUAUUUGCAACAUUUCAUCUCCAGAUAAUAUGACCUAUUCAUAUUCAAAGUAUCUGUGAGCUGAAUUUGUGUUAUUAAUCAUUUCAAUCAAUUUGAAUCUGCUGUGAUUUUUCCUUUUGUGAUAUAUAAUGAGAUCAGCAUUUGUUAUUCACCACUCAGUUCUCUUUUAUCUUAAAUGUAGUCUAGUAUUUUGUAGUGCUGAUUUUUUUUUUCUUUCUUUUCAUUAUUUUUCCUGUCCUGAUUUUUGUUUUCCUUCUUUCCCAUUAAGGAGUUAAUAAAUAAUCCUUUUCAUUUGAACA
rnacentral:lncRNA from 1 species